GACGAACGCUGGCGGCGUGCUUAACACAUGCAAGUCGAACGGAAAGGCCCUGCUUUUGUGGGGCGCUCGAGUGGCGAACGGGUGAGUAACACGUGAGUAACCUGCCCUUGACUUUGGGAUAACUUCAGGAAACUGGGGCUAAUACCGGAUAGGAGCUCCUGCUGCAUGGUGGGGGUUGGAAAGUUUCGGCGGUUGGGGAUGGACUCGCGGCUUAUCAGCUUGUUGGUGGGGUAGUGGCUUACCAAGGCUUUGACGGGUAGCCGGCCUGAGAGGGUGACCGGCCACAUUGGGACUGAGAUACGGCCCAAACUCCUACGGGAGGCAGCAGUGGGGAAUAUUGCACAAUGGGCGGAAGCCUGAUGCAGCAACGCCGCGUGCGGGAUGACGGCCUUCGGGUUGUAAACCGCUUUCGCCUGUGACGAAGCGUGAGUGACGGUAAUGGGUAAAGAAGCACCGGCUAACUACGUG
rnacentral:rRNA from 1 species